AGUUGUGAGGGCAAUCCAGCUAAGACAUCUGUCACCUCCAUUGAUUGCUGGGGUUGAUUUGGCUGAUCUGGCUGGCUAGGCGGUUGUCCUCUUCCCCUCUUACCACUCCAAGUGUAUCCCUCCAAAGACUGAGCACUUGGCUGAAAAGGACAACCUUCCCCAAACAGAGGACAAGUCUUCCAUCAAGAGUGUGAGACUACCCUGCUUGAUCUUCCAAACAAGCCUCAAGUAUCAAAUUGGGCAAUGACAAAAAUAAACUUAAUAAAGAAACUAUUACAGAUACAUUUUCUUUAAACUGAAAAGUAAU
rnacentral:snRNA from 1 species